UUCCCCAUAAACCCUGUGCUAUCUAUGCUCAGAGCUCUCACUGCUCCCUCAGUCCCCCAUACCCUUCCAGUACCUUGGUGUCAUUGUACACUUUGCUUCCUCCACUCUGAGGUGCUUCUUUCUUAUCAUCAUCCAACACUUCCCUACCUACCCAUUAAAGUCCAGUUCAAAUCUCAAAGGCACCUAAUCUCAGAAAACAUGGUCACCAAAUAUGAACUCUUCUCUGUCCAGGCCCAUGAGUUCUGGACAACAGGACUCAGUUACUAAGUGAUGACACCACGAGUUUUGGGCGAAGGGAAUGGAUAAGUGGGACAAUCCUAAAGGGGAGGAUCAACUGAUGGAUGGAAGAGGAACUGAGAAACCUCAGAGGGAAUGGCCAAGAAGAUGGCAGGACGCUGAGGUGCUCAAGAAGAAUGCGGAGCAUCUGCUUGUCAUGUUGGUGAAGCUUUCCAGAACCAUGUCCAGCCCUCUCUCCUGCCACAGAUGUCUGCAUGGCAGACCUGGGACUUGGGUGUUGCUUUUUCUGGGUUCCUCCUCAUUUUACCAGCCUGCUUUCCAGCUUGUGUGCCUGUAGAAUUUCACAAAGGCAUGUCCUGUAAACAUUCAUUAUCCCUGCCUGGAUAAAGACAAUUAGUACAGUCUGUGUGGUGUAGUGAACAGAAAGAGCAGGGAUAUUGGAU
rnacentral:lncRNA from 1 species